UGGGGAAUAUUGGACAAUGGGGGAAACCCUGAUCCAGCCAUGCCGCGUGAGUGAAGAAGGCCCUAGGGUUGUAAAGCUCUUUCAACUGAGACGAUGAUGACGGUAUCAGUACAAGAAGCCCCGGCUAACUUCGUGCCAGCAGCCGCGGUAAUACGAAGGGGGCUAGCGUUGUUCGGAAUCACUGGGCGUAAAGGGCGUGUAGGCGGAUAUGCAAGUUUGGGGUGAAAUCCCGAGGCUCAACCUCGGAACUGCCUUGAAAACUGUAUAUCUAGAAUCCGGAAGGGGAGUGUGGAACUCCUAGUGUAGAGGUGAAAUUCGUAGAUAUUAGGAAGAACACCGAUGGCGAAGGCAACACUCUGGUACGGUAUUGACGCUGAGGCGCGAAAGCGUGGGGAGCAAACAGG
rnacentral:rRNA from 1 species